rnacentral:rRNA from 1 species
GACGAACGCUGGCGGCGUGCCUAAUACAUGCAAGUCGAACGCAGUGGGGACGGGUGAGUAACACGUGGGUAACCUCCCAUCAGAGGGGAUAACACUUGGAAAAAGGUGCUAAACCGAUACAGGUGGAGGAACCCGCGGUGCAUUAGCUAGUGGGUGAGGUAACGGCUCACCUAGGCCACGAUGCAUAGACGACCUGGGUGGUGGAUCAGUCACCUUGUGACUGAGACACGGCCCAUACUCCUACGGGAGGCAGCAGUAGGGAAUUUGCGGCAAUGGACGAAAGUCUGACCGAGCAACGCCGCGUGAGUGAAGAAGGUUUUCGGUUCGUAAAACUCUGUUGUUAGGGAAGCGGUAUCUAACCAGAAAGCCACGGCUAACUACGUGCCAGCAGCCGCGGUAAUUC